ACUACCAAGUGAAAGAAAAUAAUAAAUAAUAUUUGUUGCCUUAAUAUGUUAUCUCAAAAAAUAAUGAUAAGAGAUUAAUUAUUAUUUUUCAUUACAAUACAUUUUUCUAAGUAAAAAACUACUAGUAAAACGAAUAAAGUAAUCAAUUAAUUAUAAAUAUUGUUUACUCAUUUAUCAGUGGCCAUUCAAUUUAUAAUUUUAAAAAUUAAUUCUGAUAAUACUUAGUUAUUAUUCAGAAUAAAUUAAUGUUUCAGUUAAAACCUAUGUUAUUGAAAAAUGAUAAUAAUGUCUACUGAUUGUGAUGUUGAAUCAUCUUUAGUGUAUAGAGGGGCGUUUUUUUGGAGUUGGCUUCCCAAAAGUGCAAUGUCUUGGAAAUUUUUAAAGGAAGCUGAGCAAAAAUUAUUGUCUUAUGUAAAAUCUCCAUACAGAACAAGAUAUGUUGACUUAGGUCCUAUAGUUGAACAUGAUGAAAAAAUAUGGACAAUAGAAAUUAAUAGUGAUAAACAAAAAAGUCCUUUAGUCCUUUUACAUGGAUUUGGUGCUGGUAUUGCAUUAUGGUGUAUGAAUUUUGAUGGACUAUCUAAUAAUAGUCGACCUGUGUAUGCAAUGGACUUAUUGGGAUUUGGUCGUAGCUCAAGACCUCAGUUUAGUUCAAAUAGUGAAAAAAUUGAAAAACAAUUUGUAAAUUCUAUUGAAAAAUGGAGAACAGAAAUGAAAAUAGAAAAAUGCAUUUUAUUAGGACAUAGUUUUGGUGGAUAUUUAGCUACUGCAUACACAUUACAAUACCCAGAAAGAGUUCAACAUUUGAUUCUUGUUGAUCCUUGGGGAUUUCCCGAAGAAAGAAAAAAUCACCAUAAAAAUGUACCUUGGUGGGUUAAAGGAAUAUUUUAUGUUAUUAAACCGCUGAAUCCAUUGUGGCCUGUAAGAUUUGCCGGACCUUUUGGUAACUGGAUUGUUGCAAAUUUACGAUCUGAUAUAUUAAUGAAAUAUGAACCCAUUCUUGGAGACAAAACAUCUAUUAUUGGAGAUUAUAUUUACCAAUGUAAUUCUCAACGUCCAACAGGUGAAAGUGCAUUUCAUCAUUUAUUGAAAGGUUUUGGUUGGGCUAAAAAUCCUAUGAUAAAACGUUUUCACGACAUACACAAUGAAGUACCAAUCACAUUUAUAUAUGGCCAAGAUACAUGGAUGGAUCAAAGUAUUGCAGAUGUGGUUAAAAAAGAAAGAUUGAAUGGUGUUGUAAAUAUUGAAGAAUAUUAAGAAAAAUAUCUGAAUAUGUGAUAAUCAAGAAAAUGAAAAAUAUGUAGUUAUGAUCAUUUUUAUUGGAGGUGGCAAAAUUAAUGAAUGAAAAAUUCCUAAUGCUGGUCAUCAUGUUUUUGCUGAUCAGUAUGAAAAAUUUAAUGACAUAGUAAAUAAAGUUUGUCAAGAAUAAAUUAUAUUAGAGGAUCAUGUCUAACUAUUACACCAAUAAUUGUUACUUCAAUGUUAUCUAUAUAUCUUUAUUUUUAUUGUUUAAUACAUAAAUUUAAAAAAAAUAUAAUGUUAUUUAUGCAAUUUUA